rnacentral:rRNA from 1 species
GACGAACCGUGCGAACGUUGUUCGGAAUCACUGGGCUUAAAGGGCGCGUAGGCGGGUUCGCAAGUCAGGGGUGAAAUCUUUCAGCUUAACUGGAAAACAGCCCCUGAUACUGCGAGUCUCGAGGGAGGUAGGGGCAUGUGGAACUUCCGGUGGAGCGGUGAAAUGCGCAGAUAUCAGGAGGAACACCAAUGGCGAAGGCAGCUCGCUGGGACGGUACUGACGCUGAGACGCGAAAGCGUGGGGAGCAAACAGG